rnacentral:rRNA from 1 species
ACGUGGGAACGUACCCUUUGGUUCGGAAUAACCCUGGGAAACUAGGGCUAAUACCGGAUACGUCCGUGAGGAGAAAGGUUUACUGCCGGAGGAGCGGCCCGCGUCCGAUUAGCUAGUUGGUGAGGUAAUGGCUCACCAAGGCGACGAUCGGUAGCUGGUCUGAGAGGAUGGCCAGCCACAUUGGGACUGAGACACGGCCCAAACUCCUACGGGAGGCAGCAGUGGGGAAUAUUGGACAAUGGGCGCAAGCCUGAUCCAGCCAUGCCGCGUGGGUGAUGACGGCCUUAGGGUUGUAAAGCU